ensembl:lncRNA
AUCAUAUUUUUAAGACAUAUUGUAUCUUUUUCAGGAUUACUGUAAUUGAAGGAACUAUGGGAAAGUUCUCCUUUCCAAGGCUCAUCAUAAGAAUGCCAUGGGUAAAACGGACUGCACAGGAUGAUUUCUGCACAGGAACUACUGAACUCCACAGGCCCAGAACACACCAACCUCACAACUCCUCACAACUCCCCAGCCUUAAUGUGUGUAGGCAGGACAAGGAGAACACCGAUUCUAUCCAGAAGAAGAGGAAAAAGAAGAGGCUAAAUGAGAAGGGAACCCAGGUUGAACUAGGCAUGCGGGAGGAUAUCCAUGACCUUGACCUCGCCCAUUGGAGAUUGGCUAGAGAGACAUGGAGAACUGAGCGAGGAAACAUGAGGGAGAUUAAGGCGCUGUAUGGAGAAAUAUUUAGGCUGCACCAACUCUUGGCGGAGAUUGGAGUGGAUAAAGGGGUGAUCAAGCAGCGCUCCACCUCCUCCAUUAUUUGUCCCGUCUCCCCGACACUGCCAGCUUUCCCCUGGUACAACCACCACAGGUACCUCGCCAACAGCCAAUCGGAGCCUGACCAGCAUGCUGCCGGCACCCAGAAGGACCCACCUAAGAAACACUCAAUCUUUCCCCCUCUGGACACACAGAGCUGCACCUCCCC